rnacentral:rRNA from 1 species
GACGAGGGGUCCUAGCGUUGUUCGGAAUCACUGGGCGUAAAGGGCGCGUAGGCGGCCUGCUAAGUCGAACGUGAAAUCCCCGGGCUCAACCCGGGAACUGCGUCCGAUACUGGCAGGCUUGAAUCCGGGAGAGGGAUGUGGAAUUCCAGGUGUAGCGGUGAAAUGCGUAGAUAUCCGGAGGAACACCGGUGGCGAAGGCGGCUUCCUGGACCGACACUGACGCUGAGGCGCGAAAGCUAGGGGAGCAAACGGG